rnacentral:rRNA from 1 species
AUUGAACGCUGGCGGCAGGCCUAACACAUGCAAGUCGAGCGAGCGGCGGACGGGUGAGUAAUGUAUGGGGACUGCCCGAUAUAGGGGGAUAACUUUUGGAAACGGUAGCUAAUACCGCAUAUUACCGGAUAACCCCUAUGGGAUUAGCUAGUAGGUGGGGUAAUGGCUCACCUAGGCGACGAUCCCUAGCUGGUCUGAGAGGAUGAUCAGCCGCACUGGGACUGAGACACGGCCCAGACUCCUACGGAGGCAGCAGUGGGGAAUAUUGCACAAUGGGGGAAACCCUGAUCCAGCCAUGCCGCGUGUAUGAUGAAGGCCUUCGGGUUGUAAAGUACUUUUGGCAGAGAAGCGGUAUCUGCAGAAUAAGCACCGGCUAACUACGUGCCAGCAGCCGCGGUAAUUC